UGGGGAAUAUUGCACAAUGGGCGCAAGCCUGAUGCAGCGACGCCGCGUGAGGGAUGAAGGCCUUCGGGUUGUAAACCUCUUUCGUCAGGGAACAAGGCACUGCUUUUGGUGGUGUUGAGGGUACCUGGAUAAGAAGCGCCGGCUAACUACGUGCCAGCAGCCGCGGUAAUACGUAGGGCGCAAGCGUUGUCCGGAAUUAUUGGGCGUAAAGAGCUCGUAGGCGGCUGGUCGCGUCUGUCGUGAAAACUUCCGGCUCAACCGGGGGCUUGCGGUGGGUACGGGCCGGCUAGAGUGCGGUAGGGGUAACUGGAACUCCUGGUGUAGCGGUGGAAUGCGCAGAUAUCAGGAAGAACACCGAUGGCGAAGGCAGGUUACUGGGCCGUUACUGACGCUGAGGAGCGAAAGCGUGGGGAGCGAACAGGAUUAGAUACCCUGGUAGUCCACGCCGUAAACGUUGGGCACUAGGUGUGAGGCUCCUUUCCGGGGGUUUUGCGCCGUAGCUAACGCAUUAAGUGCCCCGCCUGGGGAGUACGGCCGCAAGGCUA
rnacentral:rRNA from 1 species